CGCUGGCGGCAGGCCUAACACAUGCAAGUCGAACGGUAACAGGAAGAAGCUUGCUUCUUUGCUGACGAGUGGCGGACGGGUGAGUAAUGUCUGGGAAACUGCCUGAUGGAGGGGGAUAACUACUGGAAACGGUAGCUAAUACCGCAUAACGUCGCAAGACCAAAGAGGGGGACCUUCGGGCCUCUUGCCAUCGGAUGUGCCCAGAUGGGAUUAGCUUGUUGGUGGGGUAACGGCUCACCAAGGCGACGAUCCCUAGCUGGUCUGAGAGGAUGACCAGCCACACUGGAACUGAGACACGGUCCAGACUCCUACGGGAGGCAGCAGUGGGGAAUAUUGCACAAUGGGCGCAAGCCUGAUGCAGCCAUGCCGCGUGUAUGAAGAAGGCCUUCGGGUUGUAAAGUACUUUCAGCGGGGAGGAAGGGAGUAAAGUUAAUACCUUUGCUCAUUGACGUUACCCGCAGAAGAAGCACCGGCUAACUCCGUGCCAGCAGCCGCGGUAAUACGGAGGGUGCAAGCGUUAAUCGGAAUUACUGGGCGUAAAGCGCACGCAGGCGGUUUGUUAAGUCAGAUGUGAAAUCCCCGGGCUCAACCUGGGAACUGCAUCUGAUACUGGCAAGCUUGAGUCUCGUAGAGGGGGGUAGAAUUCCAGGUGUAGCGGUGAAAUGCGUAGAGAUCUGGAGGAAUACCGGUGGCGAAGGCGGCCCCCUGACGAAGAC
rnacentral:rRNA from 1 species